rnacentral:misc_RNA from 1 species
CACAGUACCCGGACGUCUUCACCAGGGAGGAACUGGCGCUGAGGCUCGACCUCAGCGAGGCCAGAGUGCAGGUUUGGUUUCAGAACCGUCGCGCCAAAUGGCGUAAGCGAGAGAAAGCCCUAGGCAGAGAGCACGCGCCGUUCCUUCAUCAUGAUCACGGUAAGCAGAGAAUACAUACGCAUGAAUACACUUGAAGAAUGAUAGGAGGAUGAUAAUCCCGCUAUAAAAAUCGAG